UACGGAGGGAGCUAGCGUUGUUCGGAAUUACUGGGCGUAAAGGGCUCGUAGGCGGCCAACUAAGUCAUACGUGAAAUCCCUCGGCUUAACCGGGGAACUGCGUCUGAUACUGGAUGGCUUGAGUUCGGGAGAGGGAUGCGGAAUUCCGGGUGUAGCGGUGAAAUGCGUAGAUAUCAGGAGGAACACCGGUGGCGAAGGCGGGUCUCUGGGCAACAACUGACGCUGAGGAGCGAAAGCGUGGGGAGCGAACAGG
rnacentral:rRNA from 1 species